rnacentral:lncRNA from 1 species
AAAUAUCGAUUUGGCCCCCAAACUUUAAUUUAACCCCAAACUUUAUAUAACUACACUAUUUCCCAUUUCUCAACUAUAAAUACCCCCUCAUUCUUUCAUUUUUAUUCACCAAUUCAUCAAUAUCUCUCAAUCUCUCUCAAGCUCUCUUUCAAUCUUUCUAGUGCAAGUGUUUAAUUCAUUGUUGCAAAUUCGUGAAAAAUUGUGAAGUUGUUGAAUUGAAGUUUUCAAGUGUUCAAGUUCAACUAUUUUCAAUUAUCAAGAAGUUGUUCGUCAAUCCGGUAAACUCG